rnacentral:rRNA from 1 species
UACGUAGGAGACGAGCGUUGUCCGGAGUUACUGGGCGUAAAGGGUGCGCAGGUGGCGGCGCGCGUGGGGGGUGAAAUCGCCCGGCUUAACUGGGCGGGGGCCUUCCAGACGGCGUGGCUUGAGCAGCGGAGGGGGACGUGGAAUUCUCGGUGUAGCGGUGAAAUGCGUAGAUAUCGGGAGGAACACCUGUGGCGAAAGCGGCUCACUGGACCACAACUGACGCUGAGGCGCGAAAGCUAGGGGAGCAAACAGG